rnacentral:rRNA from 1 species
GACGAACGCUGGCGGCGUGCUUAACACAUGCAAGUCGAACGGAAAGGCCCUGCUUUUGUGAGGUGCUCGAGUGGCGAACGGGUGAGUAACACGUGAGUAACCUGCCCUUGACUUUGGGAUAACUUCAGGAAACUGGGGCUAAUACCGGAUAGGAGCUCCUGCUGCAUGGUGGGGGUUGGAAAGUUUCGGCGGUUGGGGAUGGACUCGCGGCUUAUCAGCUUGUUGGUGGGGUAGUGGCUUACCAAGGCUUUGACGGGUAGCCGGCCUGAGAGGGUGACCGGCCACAUUGGGACUGAGAUACGGCCCAGACUCCUACGGGAGGCAGCAGUGGGGAAUAUUGCACAAUGGGCGGAAGCCUGAUGCAGCAACGCCGCGUGCGGGAUGACGGCCUUCGGGUUGUAAACCGCUUUCGCCUGUGACGCAGCGUGAGUGACGGUAAUGUGUAAAGAAGCACCGGCUAACUACGUG